rnacentral:rRNA from 1 species
CUACCAUGCAGUCGACGAUGAUGCCCAGCUUGCUGGGUGGAUUAGUGGCGAACGGGUGAGUAACACGUGAGUAACCUGCCCCUGACUCUGGGAUAAGCGUUGGAAACGACGUCUAAUACUGGAUAUGAUCACUGGCCGCAUGGUCUGGUGGUGGAAAGAUUUUUUGGUUGGGGAUGGACUCGCGGCCUAUCAGCUUGUUGGUGAGGUAAUGGCUCACCAAGGCGACGACGGGUAGCCGGCCUGAGAGGGUGACCGGCCACACUGGGACUGAGACACGGCCCAGACUCCUACGGGAGGCAGCAGUGGGGAAUAUUGCACAAUGGGCGAAAGCCUGAUGCAGCAACGCCGCGUGAGGGAUGACGGCCUUCGGGUUGUAAACCUCUUUUAGUAGGGAAGAAGCGAAAGUGACGGUACCUGCAGAAAAAGCACCGGCUAACUACGUGCCAGCAGCCGCGGUAAUACGUAGGGUGCAAGCGUUGUCCGGAAUUAUUGGGCGUAAAGAGCUCGUAGGCGGUUUGUCGCGUCUGCUGUGAAAUCCCGAGGCUCAACCUCGGGCUUGCAGUGGGUACGGGCAGACUAGAGU